CUUCCACACAUUUACACACCUUGGCCCGUUGCCCAGCUCGGCACAGCUGGCUAGAACAAUCCUCAAUCCUUAGGAACUUCUCCCAAGAGAAGUCCAUGAAAGCAGGAGCUGGUAGAAAAACAAAGAUGAAGGGAAUGUAAACCUUGCCUAGGAAUUAAAUGAAUUCUGAAGAACAGGAAUCUGGCCAGCCAUGAUAUUAUUUAUCAGACUUCUGACAGCCAAAAUGAAGAGAUACUUGACAGAAGAAAAAGGCAAGGAGAAGCCAUCUGGUAGAAAGGGAAUCUGGCAGAAAGUCUGAGGUACAUUUUAACUUACGGCUGUGCCUCUGCCAGUGAGCAGUGGUGACCAUGUGACUAUUAGUGCUGCCUCAUCUACACAAUGGGUUGUACACUUAGUUUUGAAAUGAAAUCAUUUCAAGAACA